GCCCCGGUGGCUCAGCGGCUAGAGCAACGGCCUUGUAAGCCGUAGGUCGCGGGUUCAAAUCCCGCUCGGGGCUCCA
rnacentral:tRNA from 1 species